rnacentral:rRNA from 1 species
CCAGCUCCAAUAGCGUAUAUUUAAGUUGUUGCAGUUAAAAAGCUCGUAGUUGGAUUUUGGGUUGGAGGAGUCGGUCUGCCGACAGGUUGAACUGUUCCCUCCAUCCUUCUUGUCGAAGACGUAUUCUGGCCUUUAUUGGCUGGAAUAUGGAGUCGGCGAUGUUACUUUGAAAAAAUUAGAGUGUUCAAAGCAGGCCUAUGCUCUGAAUACAUUAGCAUGGAAUAACGCUAUAGGACUCUGGUCCUAUUGUGUUGGUCUUCGGGACUGGAGUAAUGAUUAAUAGGGACAGUUGGGGGCAUUCGUAUUUCAUUGUCAGAGGUGAAAUUCUUGGAUUUAUGAAAGACGAACUACUGCGAAAGCAUUUGCCAAGGAUGUUUUCA